CAAAGGAGCAAUCCGCUGAAAGAUGGGCUCGCGUCCGAUUAGGUAGUUGGUGAGGUAACGGCCCACCAAGCCGACGAUCGGUAGCCGGACUGAGAGGUUGGACGGCCACAUUGGGACUGAGACACGGCCCAGACUCCUACGGGAGGCAGCAGUAAGGGAUAUUGGUCAAUGGGGGAAACCCUGAACCAGCAACGCCGCGUGAGGGAAGACGGUUUUCGGAUUGUAAACCUCUGUCCUCUGUGAAGAUGAUGACGGUAGCAGAGGAGGAAGCUCCGGCUAACUACGUGCCAGCAGCCGCGGUAAUACGUAGGGAGCGAGCGUUGUCCGGAUUUACUGGGUGUAAAGGGUGCGUAGGCGGCUGUGCAAGUCAGUAGUGAAAUCCAUGGGCUUAACCCAUGAACUGCUAUUGAAACUGCACAGCUUGAGUGAAGUAGAGGUAGGCGGAAUUCCCGGUGUAGCGGUGAAAUGCGUAGAGAUCGGGAGGAACACCAGUGGCGAAGGCGGCCUACUGGGCUUUAACUGACGCUGAGGCACGAAAGCGUGGGUAGCAAACAGGAUUAGGUACCCUGGUAGUCCACGCUGUAAACGAUGAUUACUAGGUGUGGGGGGACUGAACCCUUCC
rnacentral:rRNA from 1 species